rnacentral:rRNA from 1 species
UACGGAGGAUGCGAGCGUUAUCCGGAUUUAUUGGGUUUAAAGGGUGCGUAGGCGGAUUUUCAAGUCAGCGGUAAAAUGUCCGGGCUCAACCCGGGCCGGCCGUUGAAACUGGGGAUCUUGAGUGGGCGAGAAGUAUGCGGAAUGCGUGGUGUAGCGGUGAAAUGCAUAGAUAUCACGCAGAACUCCGAUUGCGAAGGCAGCAUACCGGCGCCCGACUGACGCUGAGGCACGAAAGCGUGGGGAUCGAACAGG